GCGCAACAAAGUAGGCAAAACAUUAAUUGAACUCACUUUUAAAUUCACCUUUACAUUUAUUUUUAUUUUUUUAUGAUCUCUACCUUUAUUCUAAAACCAAUCAAGUCUGCACAUAAUAAUAUAAAGAAGAUAAGUUCUACUACCUCUUUCCUAAAUCGAGUUAAAUUUGAUGAGAGCAUUGUUCAUAAAACCAAGUUGUGGUAAAAGUUUUACAGCUGGGCUUCACGGUCAGAGCCCGGGCAGCACCGAGGUAAACUGCAUGCCUGAUGCAUUGUUGAAAUGAACUGAAAAAAAGUGCAGAGGUGAUGGUCAGGGUAAUUAUGUCAUAUGUAUUGCACCCUUCCACAUGAUAUAAUAUUUAUGUCAGAAUUCUCGAUACAGCCAUGCCACAGGAUAUUGCGCGUUUAAUUUGAUUCGUUGAUCCCAAACAAAGUAUACAGUGAAGCAAGUCAGCCAAGAAAAGAUAACUGCAACCUAAAAACAAAAGGCAUAGGAACAGCCAUAAAACGCUCCCAGCUGAAUAAUCAAACGCUUCAGCCUUGUGAAUUGAAUAACACUAGGCUGUUCCUUCGGUAAAGAUUGGCUUUAUUUCCAGAGUUAACUAUAGUAAUAGACUGUACAAGGCAUCGUUGGACAGAGCACACUCAGGACACUCAUUAAACAAGACUUAACUUGCAACAGAGGGAUUUUACAUUUAAGAAACACACCAAUGGUGAACUUCAGUGUUCAUGGGGCCCAACUUUUUAUAAUAAGCAUAUUCAGGUCAAUAUAUUCCCCACAGACCAGUGAGUGAUCGAUGUGUGAAAGUGCGAUGAUUAAGAUAGUUCAUCUGUAUCUAUACCAGUAAUAUGUCAUAACUAUCUUCGACCGUUUGCUCUAUUGAGAAAACUAAAACAACUUUCAUUUUCAGAGACAUGACGCUAAAUAUUAUCCGGAGACAUUUGCAUGUAGACUAGGUGACACUCAAUUCUAAUGAACUGGAGCAGACAAACGAAUAUUUCAAAGCUAGGUUACCACAAAUUAACUAAUAUUAGCUUAGAACUGCAGCCUUGACAUGAUCUCUUCUUAGAUGUGUGAUAGAACCAACAGUUUGGGGUGGUGAGGUAAGGCUAUAGGGUCACCAUAUUUGGUGAGACGAAACGGAGGACACUCUGUCGCUUACAAAAUGUUACAAAUGUAAAAGACAUUUUUUAAAAAGUCUUCUGCCUUUGCCAUGCGAACAGCCAUAGUUGUAAAAUACAUGUAAUAUCUAAUAAAAAAACGAAGAAAAAUAGCAGUUUUAAUUAAGAAAUAAAAUACAAUAAAAUACGUGAUAAAAUGUUUUUCAGUGAAAGUUACAAAAAGUUUGUUAAACUUCAAGCAAAUGAAGGGAUUCACUAUUCACACAAAAACAAAAAUACAAUAUCCAAUAAAAUGCCAAUGGUUUCAGGAAUUGACGUGACUCGUGAGCCGCGUGACAGUUAGGUAUAUGUCUAUCGUUUAACUUUUACAGUAAAGGUGCAGGAUCCUUGAAAAACACUGUGGGCUGAUCUGGAGUUGCUGCUGUAUAUUGAAAAUUGAUGCCUUUUCCCUCAUUUGGUACUGCACUGUAACUUGCAACACUGGGUCAUACAGGUUGCAGCACUAAACCCAAACAAACCGCCGAUUUUUGAAAAACCGCCCAGACAGGCGUCCAAACGGAGGACGUGUCGGGGACGUCGCAAGCCACCUGAAUCUGGAGGGGAUCUGCGGGGAUCUGGAGCUGCAGUGCUGGAGGGUGUAACAGAGCGCAUGCUAGCUGGUGCUGCUCCCCUUGGUGCCCAGAUGCCCAGCUGAUACGCAGGAGAACUUUCUGAGGUUACUGCUGCAGGGGAUGGCCAGUGCAGGAGAGGAUGUCAGGAAAAAGGACUUGCGUAAUGCAGGCCUGCACAGCAUCCAGCGGGAGUCUGAAAAAGCAGCAGAUCAGAAGUUAGCCUUAUGACACAAGCAAGCUGUUUUCUGUCCAAAGACCGUCCAUCAUGUCCCACCUGGGGGAGCCAGAUAGGACGAGCCACCCGACCACAGGCCAACGACAGCGAGCGUGGCACCAGGAGCAUGUUGGACACAGCGUGCUGCUUUGUGAACACGUAGCACUACAAGGGACCCGGCAGGAGCCAGCAGAGGCUCGGUCUCCUGGAAGAAAAGAAUGUGGACCUCCAGCCAUAACCUGCAGAGAGCAAUUGCUGCCUGUAUUGCCGAACAGGAUUAUGAGGCGUGGAUUUGAAGCGAAGAGUCAUUCAGAUGACAUAAGCUUGACUUAUUUCGCCACAGAAAACCGAGACAAACGAGCCCAGAGGGGACAUGGAAGAGGCGUGCUAAAGCCAUCACAACACAACGUGACGCAGGAGAGCGCCGCACUUCUGAAGAAUUCCGCAGGAAAUGAAUGCCUGUUUUAUUUUCUUUUAAAGAGCCCCUUCUCCCCCUCCCCUCGAUUUAUGAGUGUUUUUUAGAUCAUAAGGAUGAAAUGAUAUUUGACUCUGAGGGUCAGUGUAACUUGGUGUCAUGGUCUGAAAUGGAGGCCCUGAUUCGGGGAACAGGAGAGUAAAUGUUUUUAUGCGUUUGUCUAUAGUGAGGCAAUUCCAGCUCCCAUCACUGUGCUAAAUUAUGCACUUUCCACUUCCACCUCACCAGAUCUGUCUAUAAUCUUUUUAUUUAUUGGAGGGGGGGGUCGGGGGUCGUGUUAUUAAUUCAUAUUAUUUGUUUACAUUUCUUUGGCCAAAGCAAUGUUCAGGUGAGGGUCGCUUGGGGUCAGCCAGCAUCCAGCACGCCAGGGACAGCUGGGGUUCAGUAAACUGCUCGAUGUUGUUAAAAACACUCUACUACUCGCAGGAUAAGAACACAUGACCUUCAGGCCCCAGGUGCAGAUCCCUAACCCUCCCGGCCGCACGCUGCCUACAGGAAUGCUGAUGGACAACAAAAGCUCUACGGUCAAUCACUGUGACCGUGGAAUUAAAACAGCUAUAGAAAAUGUAUAGUUUGAUGGAUGCAUAGAUGAAUAGACAGUAGUCAUAUUUUGCAGCCUAAAAUAAAUUUGAUACACUAGAUUUAUAUAUUUUUUGAAUUGGCUUGUAUAUUUUUUUAUAGCAAGUUAUAAAAACCUAAGAACCCAAUAGGAGCCUUCAUAAACAUGCUAGUGCAUGACAGGGACACUAAGAGCCUUGGAUAAAGCAGGGCCCAAACACACUUCUUAACACACAUCUUAAACUACGGGUUCAGUGGAUUGAAUAUAUAUAAAGUUUUAAAAUUUUUAAGCUUUUUUUUUUUUUAAAUAGUUGACUAAAUAGUGGGUGCAAUGUUACCGCCCAACCCUACCUGCCGGACGUGAGUACUGGUGCGAAAAUUAAUGCCGUUUAAUGUUAUCAGCUCAGAAAUGCAUAUUUUUUUUAUGUCUAUCUUGCUGGUUAACUUAGUUGUUGCUAAUGUUCUGGUAGAAUCGGGCUCAAAGAAAUGAACUAUAGCUAUACCUGAGCUUAAAUUCAGUUUUAUGAUUCACUCAGUGUGCUUUUUACUAGACAGCAUGUGGAUUUUUCUUUAAUGCUAUCUGUCUGUUUUGAAUGAUAAAGAGGACUAGAUAACCUCUAGAUAACCUCUAGAUAACCACUAUCAUAACUGUAAGCUCCAGUUGUUCAGUUAAAAAUUUGAACAAGGUAUUAAAUAUUAAAAUUGAAUUGGUAGAUAUGCCAACGUUCACGGGCACGAUAAUGAAACUUGAGAUCAGGGAAUGUUUGAGAAUGACAGGCACAAUACUGCUUUGUAAAAUUCUGCACACCAUUCGAUGAAUUCAUUAACAAUAACCGAGCAGACAGCUGGUUUUAAUAUGUGUAUUUGUUUAAAUGAGCCUGGCUCCGACUUGUGUUGUCUAGCAUUAGAGAGGCAUUUAGGUGUCCCUCAAGUUAUAAGGCACAGUGGGCAGUUUGCUAUGGAGCUGGGAAAGAGGAAGUAUGGCACAACUGCCAAAGUCACGCAAAUCGACAGGUGACAGCGCUGCCUGGAAUACAGUGGGCGAAUCCCUAAAAACAGACCGACACAGGUACAGUAUGUCUGAGAGGCCUCUACGGCAACAUACAGAUAUCUCGAUAACAUUCUCACUUCAUCUCUGUAUUACCUGUCCAUUUUCUACCCACUUGUGCUUGUGAGGGUCAUAGGGGCACCCUGGAGAGGAUGCCAGUCUAUCAAAGGGCACAUAUAUGCACACUCACACACUGUGGGCAGGUUAGGGACUCAGCUAACUGUAUGCCCUUUGGACUGUGGCAAGACAGCAGAGUAACUGGAUGAGACCCACACGACACGGGGAGCGGAGGAAGGAUUCUGACCCCCAAACCCGGCGCGUUCUACAAUAUGAUAAGUAAUAAUAUUAUUAUUUAAUACUGUAUUCCUGCUGUUAAUUAUAAGCAGCCUUUCCUGGGUGUUCCUCAGCCGUGUAACCCUGUGCUACUUGGAAUAAACCCCGGACUCACCAGACACACAUACUGGGUAAGUGGCUCAGUGGGUUAGGAUGCUGUAGGUCACUGGUUCAAAUCCCAUGGCUGAUAGAAGGGCUUUUCUCUUAGGUCCUUUAGCAAGACCCUUAACCCCAAGUGCUGCAGGCACUGGCUGACCAAUGUUCUCUCAGCUGUACGUUACUUUAGAUAAAAGCAUCUGUUGAGCAUGUAAACGACGUAUUAAAUAUGAAUAAAAUGGUAUUUGCUGUUCUCUGAAAGUCCUGGGGCAUUUUCUUAAUUCGGUAAAAAUAUUACAGAUUUAUUGGUUUUAUAUCAAAAAUCAUUAUUUGUUUAUAAAAAAUAUAUCACAUUAGAAUCAAGCAGUAGUUUUAUGUACAAUAUUCAUUUCAAGUACUAAUAAAUUGACACCCAAAUUCUGGCUCUAAAAGAGCUGCUCUGAGUUGAAAAGUUCAUUGCCAAGCUGUCUCACUGUGUGCCUUUUAAUUAGUAACACCUUUGCAAUAACAUAAAACGGCAAACGUUUGUGUUUAGUAUCCCUUUGGGAGUCAGUGACUACAAUUUUAAUGUAUAACAAAAAUGGCAAGAAAAGAACUAAAUGAGUCAGUAAAAAAAUAGUCAGUUAAUAAAAAGAAACUGUCGGAAGGUGUGGAAGGUAUGUGUGUGAUAUGUUAAAUAUUGGUUGUUGAAAUAUUGAAAUUUCCAACAUUUUUACAGAAUUAAGCAAGCGUGAGCAUUGUCUGUAUAGACAGGGAUGUUCUUAGGGAUGUUUUCUGUGCCCUCUGACAAAAUGUAACCUUGGGUCCCUCCUGCACAAAUGUUCAUAUCCAAGGGCCCCUGUAAAGUGCUGGGCCCCCUGAAUCUGCCUGGGUAUCCAUGCCCCUACUGUGGCCCCUGUAAAGUGCUGGGCCCCCUGAAUCUGCCAGGGUAUCCAUGCCCCUACUGUGGCCCCUGUAAAGUGCUGGGCCCCCUGAAUCUGCCUGGGUAUCCAUGCGCCUCCGACACCCCUGUACAGAUACAUAAUAUACUGUAUUUAAAGCCUUUAUAUCUAAUGCACCUUAGGGUCAUAUUCGCCAGCAUGAAAAGUCCUGCCUGUUGAUUCAUACACUCUGCUUACAUAAAAAUAUGCUGUCUGACUGUUAUCUUUCCAACUUAACUUUCUUUUGUCUUGUGUCAGUCCAUCCAUCAGUAACUGCUUGUCCAAUUCAGGACAGAGCCUGUCCCAGAACCUACAGGUGUAAGGCAGGAUGGGACACCAACUCACCACAGGGCACGCUCACCGUUCACUCACCCCUCCAGGCAAUUUGGUAACUCCCAGUUAACCUUGGUAUAUUUUUUGGAUGGGGAGGAGGAGGAGGGAGGAAGAGACCAGAGUUCACCCCAUCACAACACAGGAAGAACUCCACACAGAGCCAAGGCAGAGACUCAAAUCAUGAUCUCGGAGGUGUGAAUCAACAGUGCUGACCACUGCGCCACCAUCCCACCCCUUUUGCACCAAUGAAUCAUUCUCAUGUAGUUGCUCCUGAAUAGAAAACUGCGGAAGAUCACAGGCGUCAGCAGAAGAAAUGGCCCCGUUCCGGGAUUACGUGCCGGCUCUCACUGCGGUGCUAAGGAGAGGCUUCCUAACCCUCUGAAGCCCACAACUUAACACGAGAGGCCUGUAGGGACCAGCGGAACCCAGCGGAGCCCAGCGGAACCCAGCGGAGCCCAGCUCGCAUUGUUAUUUUGGAAGUGCUAGACAUAUUUCUGCUCCUUCCAAGCAGCCUAUCAUGUUUCCAUUCCUAGCCGAUUCGUUGUGUUUUAUUGUUGCUAUCAAGCAGAGGGGUGGAGCUCUCUGCACAUUACAGAUGACUAGGUCCUGAAAUCGAAUCGCUAUAAUAUGAAAUCCAAACUGGUGUAUUUUUUCGCUGUUUGUCCCCAGGUCAGCCAGGCGUGCCGGCUGUAGGAUUCAGAAAAUGAUGAGAACUUUUUACACUCUUUAUUUUGCCCUGUGCAAAAACCACAGCUGACUCUGGAGAACUUCAACGAAACAGAAGUAACAGACUUUAUCAAAAAUGCAUAAAAAACUGACACCACUCUCCAUUUCGCUAUCUGUAGGUACAGAAAGUAUUAGAACUAGCAUUAUGUGUCUGAUGUCAGAUUUACAAAACUUAACAUGAUAUUUAUUUAUAUAACAACCAGAUAGCAACAAAUUCUAAGGAAUGCUAGUGAAGACUAGGUCAACUUUUCUUUUCAUUUUGUACUCCAUUAAGUUGGAAAAAAAGAAAGAAAAAGAAAAAAACAUUUUUAAUCAUUAAAAAAGAAGACAUGAAGCAUUUUGCCCCAAAUAACACCCUUGUGGUAUGUUUCCACUUUGGCAGUAAUCAUAUUUUCUCUUCUCAUACCAAACACAACAACAUUGUUGCUCUGCCAUUUUAAUCCCUUCCAUCUGUUAGGACACCAGCACGUGCUGCUGAGCACAGGACCUGCGAGAUGCCAGAACCAGCAAAGUGUAAUUCAAAGCAUGAGUCUGCCGGCCGUGAUCCACGCUAACAGCACAGGGAAAUGGCGCCACCUUAAGGCCACUGUGGAAGUAGCAUCUAAAACUCGGCACUAUACUCAGGUUUUCAUCUCACAGAUUUAACAGAUGCUUUUAUCCAAAGCAAGUGAGGCAAAUAGCACAUGGCAAACAUACAUGCUGUCAAGGAUUCAACUUAGCAUAAGUGUGGCUAGGCUAAGCUUCCAAUGAAUGCCCAGGUACAAGUGCAAGUAGCUUUUGAGCUACUGAACAACUACCACUAACAGUGCAAGAACCUAAUAAUACUAUUCAAGGUCCAAAAGUGCAACAUAACAUUCCUGGGACGUAAAGGGUCAUCAGUGCUGCAUGCUGUCUGAUCUCUGAGUUAUGGUGAGUAAGAUGAGGGAAGGUGAAGAGAAGCAUUCCAGUGUAACUGGGCAAAUCAAGAAAGUUCUGUUCUUAAGUGCUGGUAUACACACUUUUCUUCACAUUAGUACAGCUACACACCUCUUCACCUACCCCAUCUUGCUCUUCAUAGCUUGGAGAUCAGAGCACAGGGGCAGCCAAUACCCCCAGAGGAGGGGGUUAAAGGCCAUUUUCAAGGGCCCACAGACAUGUUACCACUCCAGUGGGGCCAGGGCUUGAACCAGUGACCUGCUUACAAACACAGAGGCUUAGUCCACUGAGCCACUUACCAGCUUCAGAUGUUAAGGGAGGAUCCUGGAGCAGAACUGGUCGGUAGUCAGCCUGGAAUAUAAAAGGAGUUUUAGCCACAUUCAACAAACAUUCUUUAUUUGCAUAAGUACUGGUGCAUCAGAAUGCUUCUCUUCACUGACCUCCAUCUUGCUCACGGCAGCUUGGAACCAGCAACCUUCUGAUCACAGGCACAGAGACUUAGACCAGGUGCAGAUUAGGGCCAGGCCAGAUCCAGUUCAUGGAUCUGUGGCGAUUUCAGAACAUUUGGCCCAGAUCCGAUUCAGACUCAUCUUACUAUGUGGGGUUAUUACCCCUCAGAUUCUUAGUGCAUCAGCUGCGUGUCUGGUAAGUGACAUACGUUUAUGGUCAGGCAAAUGCAUGCCAGAUCUUCAGAGUGUAUGCAGACCAAUGGUAAUCAUUUAGAACUCUGGACAGAUUCUGGUACAGACUCUCCUGCCUGAAUCUCUCUGACACCCAGAUUUAAGGAGAUGCAGGAGGAUCUAUCCCAGAAUCAGUUGCUAUGUUGGUUGAAGCGCAGCCUUUUGUCAGGGAUGGUCUACAAAGUGCAUUCAGUACGAACGAGAGAACCAAGUAUUGAUACUGGAGCAUUUCUGCUAUGGGCACAAUCUGAGUUGUUUUUCAAAGAAUAAUGCAAUAAAUCCUAAAAGUGAUGCAAUAAUUUCACGUACUUAAUAUGUAAUAUGAUGUGAUAACAGUUUUUAUUUAUCGACAUUUACUCCAUUGCGUGUGAUACAUUGUAAAAGGCUAGUAUUGUCUCUUCCUUUCUUACAUUUCAAACUGAUUGGUAUGGGGGCAGUAACAGCGGUGUCCUUCGACAGUAUGCAAACCAUUACAGGUGUGUUGACACCUAUCUCAUCAAUAUUGAUUGUGUAAGCCACUGACUUUGGAAAAAACUGUCACUCCAAAGUUCUAACACUUCAGUAUUCAAAUGACAUAAAAUUUCCGAAUGCUACAAUAACCUACUGUACGUUCAGCCAACCCCUAUGUCUAUAAGGUCCAGAGCUCAAAGUCUUGGGUAGAAAGGUUAAUGAUGUGGUUUUUGUUUUCACAAUUUCUCAGCACCUCUUAAAUAGGUUUUUGCAAGGUGUAUGUUUAAAGUUGAUUUCAAUU